UACGAAGGGGGCUAGCGUUGCUCGGAAUUACUGGGCGUAAAGCGCACGUAGGCGGAUUGUUAAGUCGGGGGUGAAAUCCUGGAGCUCAACUCCAGAACUGCCUUCGAUACUGGCGAUCUCGAGUUCGGGAGAGGUGAGUGGAACUGCGAGUGUAGAGGUGAAAUUCGUAGAUAUUCGCAAGACACCAGUGGCGAAGGCGGCUCACUGGCCCGAUACUGACGCUGAGGUGCGAAAGCGUGGGGAUCAA
rnacentral:rRNA from 1 species